GCCUGGGUGGCGGAAUAGGUAGACGCAAGGGACUUAAAAUCCCUCGGUGUUUCGGCACCGUUCGAGUUCGAUUCUCGUCCCAGGCA
rnacentral:tRNA from 1 species